rnacentral:rRNA from 1 species
UCUCCCUACGGGACGCAGCAGUGGGGAAUAUUGCACAAUGGGGGGAACCCUGAUGCAGCGACGCCGCGUGGGUGAAGGAGUACUUCGGUACGUAAAGCCCUAUCAGCAGGAAAGAAAAUGACGGUACCUGACUAAGAAGCCCCGGCUAACUACGUGCCAGCAGCCGCGGUAAUACGUAGGGGGCAAGCGUUAUCCGGAUUUACUGGGUGUAAAGGGGGCGCAGACGGCGAUGCGAGCCAGGAGUGAAAGC